AUGUGUGGCGGCGCGAUCAUCUCCGACUUCAUCCCGGAGCGCGACCACCGCGGCGGGAGCAAGCGGAGCCUCUGCACCGCCGACUUCUGGCCAAAUGCGGCCGGCGCCGGCGCCGCGUUCGACGACCCUACCGGCCACCACGACUUCUACCCAGCCGACCUGACCGGCGCCGGCGCCUUCACGCCUGAGCACCAAGCGGAGGAGGAGCCGAGCAGGAAGCGGGAGCGCAAGACGAUGUACCGCGGCAUCCGGCGGCGGCCGUGGGGCAAGUGGGCGGCGGAGAUCCGCGACCCGGCCAAGGGGGCGCGCGUCUGGCUCGGCACCUUCGCCACCCCCGAGGGCGCCGCGCGCGCCUACGACCGCGCCGCCCGCCGCAUCCGCGGGACCAAGGCCAAGGUCAACUUCCCCAACGAGGACCCGCCCCUCGACCUCGACGACUACGACGUCGCCAACGUGGCCGGCUUCAUCCACCAGCCGUCGUACAUGGCGCCAGAGGUGGCGUACGCGCACCAGCUGCCGCAGCAGGACGAGCCCGGGAUGGAGCUCUGGAACUUUGGCAACAUCAACGCUCAAGUGCCUAUGUGA
rnacentral:rRNA from 1 species